rnacentral:rRNA from 1 species
UGGUGAGAUAAAAGCCCACCAAGGCAACAAUCAGUAACCGGCUUGAGAGAGUGAACGGUCACAUUGGAACUGAGACACGGUCCAAACUCCUACGGGAGGCAGCAGUGGGGAAUAUUGCACAAUGGGGGAAACCCUGAUGCAGCGACGCCGCGUGAGCGAUGAAGGAAUUCGUUUCGUAAAGCUCUGUCCUAGGGGAAGAUAAUGACAGUACCCUUGGAGGAAGCCCCGGCUAAAUACGUGCCAGCAGCCGCGGUAAUACGUAUGGGGCGAGCGUUGUCCGGAAUUAUUGGGCGUAAAGGGUACGUAGGCGGUUUCAUAAGUCAGAUGUAAAAGCGUGGGGCUCAACCCCAUAAAGCAUUUGAAACUGUGGAACUUGAGUAGUGGAGAGGAAAGUGGAAUUCCUAGUGUAGCGGUGAAAUGCGUAGAUAUUAGGAGGAAUACCAGUGGCGAAGGCGACUUUCUGGACACAAACUGACGCUGAGGUACGAAAGCAUGGGGAGCAAACAGGAUUAGAUACCCUGGUAGUCCAUGCCGUAAACGAUGAAUGCUAGGUGUCGGGGGUCAAACCUCGGUGCCGCAGUUAA